AUGCUUGAUUCUGAAAUUCUAGAAAUAUGGUUGUUUGGAGUAUUGGAAGUGUUUGCAGGGGCUUGCUUUGCCAUUUUUGUGCCAGGUUGGUGGACUAAUGCAGCAGGUUGGACAGGGUCACAGUUUCGGCAGGGCUUUGUAAUGGACUGUUAUAGGCAGGUUUGCAAGUUUUGGACAGAAGCUUGGUCUUGGGCUGUUUGUGGUAGACAGUAG